UUUAGACAUUAAAUUUGUUUUCCACUUUUAAGUACUUUUAAAUUUUGUUUUGCAUUACAAUGGAGAAUUCCGCCUGGAAUUGAGUCUUGGUUCUACUUCUCAGUUACAUCAUCUCAAGCAAAUCGCAAGUUUCAGUGUCAGAUAAAAUAUCUUUCUGCCUUCUUCCCAAGAGUGUUGAAGAUCAGAGUGUCCUGAAUAUUAUAAUUCCCAGGGAAGAGAUGAUUACAGUGAACUGAACAAAGGAAGUGAUGCAAAUCCUUGAGCAGAAAGGGAGGCAUCGCCAUGCCCAGCGGAUUCCAUCUCAACUUUUAAAUGAUGGAAAUGGACCCAGAAGUGUGCCAGAAGCAAAAGUUGUCAACAAGAUCCACUACUCCACAACUGUGAGCCUUGCCACUUGCUAAGGCCUUUCUUCUUCCUGGUGCCAUAGAGUUUCUCUGCUCUCUCAAGUUUAUAAUUUUUCGGCUCUCUCACUGCACAGCCCUCCUCACUACCAUGAUAAUAUUCAUGUAGCCAAUUAACCUAGGACAGUAAAUCUCAGAGAGAUCCAGUGUAGCCAGCAGAACUCCUGCAGGCAGCAGCACCCGGUGCCUGAGCCAGUUCUGACCAAGGCUCACAGUGCUCCAGAGCAGCCCUAGCACUCCUUUCACAUCACCCACAAUGCACUGCUUUCCCAUUGUAUCAAUGGUAGGCCACAACUUUCCCAUGUCUUAGCUGAAAGUUUCAUGGUGUGCUUUAGUCGACCUCACUCUCGAGUUCUCUGAAAUGCUAAGUCCAUGGGAGUGGUAUUAAUAUAAGGCAUUAGUUGUCAUAUGGAAACUACAAGGCAAGAGCAUGGAAAAGAAGUGGCUCCACCUCCUCAGGAAGAGUAAUGCAGUGGCAGCUAGCUGGAUGAAAGCAGGGUUUUCUUCCUUGUACUCUCCUGAUGACUCCAGUGAAAAAAAUAAAACAUAGA
rnacentral:lncRNA from 1 species